rnacentral:lncRNA from 1 species
GCCCGCGACACGUCGUCGAAGAGACCCGGUCAAGGAUGUUUCGUCAGAAGACUUUACUCAGAAGCGUUAUUCUUGUAAGCUGAGCUGCACAAAGCCUCCUGGAAGUCUCUGUGUAGAGAGUCACAAAGGAAAAUGCUCUUGCCAGUGCAUAGAGAAAGCUUAUCCGUGUCCGCCUAAAACAAACGCAACUUGCCGCAGUAAAGCUCCACCUACGUGCCUGCUAGAGGGGACGUUCUGCUUCUGCAAAUGCUGGUAGACGAAGCCAGCAGCACGCCUUGAUUUCACCUUUUAUACACGUCUUUUCAAAUUUAUGGUUGUUGCGCCCACCUUAACGGUUCUUUAGCUCUCUGAAAUGUUUAGACCGCAUUUGCAAAAUAAAGAAAGUAU